UUUAUGGAGAGUUUGAUCCUGGCUCAGGAUGAACGCUGGCGGCGUGCCUAAUACAUGCAAGUCGAGCGAACGGACGAGAAGCUUGCUUCUCUGAUGUUAGCGGCGGACGGGUGAGUAACACGUGGAUAACCUACCUAUAAGACUGGGAUAACUUCGGGAAACCGGAGCUAAUACCGGAUAAUAUUUUGAACCGCAUGGUUCAAAAGUGAAAGACGGUCUUGCUGUCACUUAUAGAUGGAUCCGCGCUGCAUUAGCUAGUUGGUAAGGUAACGGCUUACCAAGGCAACGAUGCAUAGCCGACCUGAGAGGGUGAUCGGCCACACUGGAACUGAGACACGGUCCAGACUCCUACGGGAGGCAGCAGUAGGGAAUCUUCCGCAAUGGGCGAAAGCCUGACGGAGCAACGCCGCGUGAGUGAUGAAGGUCUUCGGAUCGUAAAACUCUGUUAUUAGGGAAGAA
rnacentral:rRNA from 1 species